UAGGGAAUCUUCGGCAAUGGACGAAAGUCUGACCGAGCAACGCCGCGUGAGUGAAGAAGGUUUUCGGAUCGUAAAACUCUGUUGUUAGAGAAGAACAAGGACGUUAGUAACUGAACGUCCCCUGACGGUAUCUAACCAGAAAGCCACGGCUAACUACGUGCCAGCAGCCGCGGUAAUACGUAGGUGGCAAGCGUUGUCCGGAUUUAUUGGGCGUAAAGCGAGCGCAGGCGGUUUCUUAAGUCUGAUGUGAAAGCCCCCGGCUCAACCGGGGAGGGUCAUUGGAAACUGGGAGAAUUGAGGGCAGAAGAGGAGAGUGGAAGUCCAUGUGUAGCGGUGAAAUGCGUAGAUAUAUGGAGGAACACCAGUGGCGAAGGCGGCUCUCUGGUCUGUAACUGACGCUGAGGCUCGAAAGCGUGGGGAGCAAACAGG
rnacentral:rRNA from 1 species